ACGAACGCUGGCGGCGUGCCUAAUACAUGCAAGUCGAACGGUCUUUCUAUGGAAGCUUGCUUCCACUGAGAAGAUAGUGGCGAACGGGUGAGUAACACGUGGGUAACCUGCCCAUAAGAGGGGGAUAACAUCCGGAAACGGGUGCUAAUACCGCAUAGUUUUCUUGGUCGCAUGAUCGGGAAAGGAAAGACGGCCUUUGUGCUGUCGCUUAUGGAUGGACCCGCGGCGUAUUAGUUAGUUGGUGAGGUAACGGCUCACCAAGACGAUGAUACGUAGCCGACCUGAGAGGGUGAUCGGCCACAUUGGGACUGAGACACGGCCCAAACUCCUACGGGAGGCAGCAGUAGGGAAUCUUCCGCAAUGGACGAAAGUCUGACGGAGCAACGCCGCGUGAGUGAAAGAAGGUUUUCGGAUCGUAAAACUCUGUUGUCAGAGAAGAACAAGUUGGAGAGUAACUGCUCCAGCCUUGACGGUAUCUGACCAGAAAGCCACGGCUAACUACGUGCCAGCCGCCGC
rnacentral:rRNA from 1 species